rnacentral:lncRNA from 1 species
UCCAGCACAACCGAUGUAUAAUCAGUAUGAGCAGCAAAAUCAAGGAGUUCAACAACAAUCUUUAGCCGAUAUUAUUGCAGAAGUGGUGAGGGAACAAUUUGGGAUGAUAAUGGGAUCAUGUAUCGACACACAUACCCAGAAUAUUUUGAUAGAGUGCCAUUACCAAGUCGAUACAAGAUUCCAAAUUUUCAAAGUUCUUACACUGCAAGAAUCUAUGAUGAAAAAAAUUCGUCAUGGAUCACUGAAAAUUCGUCAUAGGAAUUUAUCUGUGACGAUUAUACUUAUCGUCAUCUAUUGAGCGUCACAGAUUAAAUCUGCCGACGUUCUCUUCGAAAUCGUCACGAAUCAGCACAAUCUAUGACGUUUUUUAACCAUCAUAAAACGCUUAUGGGCUAAUGUAGUCCAGUCCAGGCCCAACCUUUGUGACGAAAUUAAACGUCACAUAUGGUUGCCACAUGGCAGCCAACAUGGCAGGUGCACGUGUGUGAUGAUGUGGCACUGAUGACGUGGCAGCUAAUGUUAGCAAUUUUUUUAUACAGGCCAUUAUUUUUUUACGGCCCAUCAUUUCUUUGACAGCCCAUUAAUUAUUUAACAGCUGCCCAUUAUUUUUUUUGGAAUUGGUCCAUUUUAAAAUAGGCCCAUUUCAAAACUGGCCCAUUUUGUCAACCAGCUAUCAGAUCAAAGCCCACUAAAUAAGCCCAUUAAAUUUGAGCCCACCAAAUUCAAUCCAAUUUCUCAUAUAUCUCAGAUUCAAACCUAACAACUGAUACCAUAUCAGAUUCAACUAAUAAUAGAUACAACCAGAAUACAACAGAAUUUAAAUAAUAGUUCAUCUCAGAUUCAACCUAAUAACAGGAGGCGGCCUGAGAAACACACAUUUUCAAUCAAUCAAUCCAAGCCAAGAAAGUAAGCGCGCAGAUUGGGAUCACGCUUGAUCUGGAUCAAGACGAGGACGACCAGAAGGAAUCAGAUACCCUGGAAAACAUGACAAGAAAAACUCAGUAGUGUUCAGUAUGAGAUAAAGACAGUGAACAAACUUUUUGAAAUAGAUAUGAGCCAACGUCUCAGUGAUCAAAGGAUGUGGGAGAAAAACUUAACUUUGUUAUUUUCACGUCCAUAAAUCAUGGCAUUAAAAAGAUUAAUAAGCAGAAUAUGUGCUGGCAUACCAUUUUCUCACAUCACAUGGUAGACUAUAUAUUUUCUCCCCAAAGCUACCACAUAACACACACUGGUAGCACUUUGUAGCAACAAAGGCUGCUCAAAAUAUAUAUAAAAAAGGUGAUGGAUGACAAGGAGAAUCUCAGUAUCAAUUUAUAGACAAGAAAUAGGCAUCCAAGUUCAAGUCAACCAACUGAGCUUAAGUUCAGUUCCUAUUUUCAAAAUAAAUGAAACAUAUAUGUCUUUGUCCUUCUGUAAUUCUAUUAGGCGAUUUUAAAUGCUGAUGGCAAGAGCUCUCCUAGAUAAUCAGCACAGAGCUCACUGCUACAUUUCUAUGCGCAUAUGGCAUUUUUAAUGUUGGUCGUUCUGCUACAAAGGAAAUCUUAGAGCUACUUCUGGGAACUACAUGCACAACUAAAAUCUAACAUUCAGAGAAACAGAUUUUGUACACUCAAAGCGUGCCCAUCCGUACCAUUAAGCCACUGAUUAAAAACAUUCAGAGAAACAGAUUUUGUACACUCAAAGCGUGCCCAUCCGUACCAUUAAGCCACUGAUUAAAAAAAUGGAGGACCAACUUACAGAGAGCACAUAUGGAGCAUUUGGUUUUAUGUCAGAUAAAGACAAUCAUCCAACUCUAGCAAUACAUACUCAUCCUCUUCUUUUCCCCCUUCUUCGCAAAACUGUGUACAUUUCCCGUUAGAAAUUAAGAAAAUAUUGCUUUCAGUAAGAACAAUGACCGAAAGAAAUCAAGCACACUCAAAUUAACUAACUAAUCCAUCCAUUUCAUAUUGUUUCUCCUUAGCUGCCAUGUGCAAAAUCCCAGUAAUAAGUCUAAGAAAGUUAAUGAGAAAUGCCCGCACAUGAUUGCAUGCAUGCUAUAAUUAUAAAGGUCUAUGUUUCUGUUCAUAGACUCCCUAAUUAUUCAAAUUGAUCUCUUUAUUAAAAAUAUGCUACUCAUGGACUCCUACUAGAGGCUGGGGCGCGCCAUGCCGCGCUGCCUGUGGCGGCAUACAACUCGGUUGAUUAGGUUAAAUCAUUUGCUUUCAGACUAAAUCAGUGAUUGUCUAAGACAACCAACAAAGAACUAUCGAGCAAAGUUGUAGCACAUGAAUCGAACAGCAUACACAGGUUACCCAUUGAUGACUAAUUUAAUAGAAAUGGUGCUAAAGAUUCUGAUGAGAACAAAACUCACUCACCAUUACAAAUUUACCAUCCUAAAGAUAAUGCAUGAAGUCGCACAUAAAAAAUCAGAACAGCCCCUUAGAACAUGCUUUUUUAGUAACAGUUCAAUGUGCAUAUCAUUCAAACCAACAACUCCAAUAAUAUUUGGUUCAUGAGCAUGUGAACAUCGAAUCUAAGAUUGGGUCUUAUUGUAUAAGGAAUCACACUCUACUUUAUAUUUUCCGAGUCACGAUUGCAUCCUGAUAAACUACAGAUCUUCGGAAAUGAACAUGUAUAGCAGCACGAAUGACAAAUCAAAGUUGUAACACAUGAGAAGAGAAAGAAAAUGGAUUGGGUACUGAUACAGGGUAGCAUCAGCUGAAUCUCAAGCAACAACAUAUAGCUUCACUGUAACAAAAGGAUGGAUGCACAUGAGUUUAAGCAUAAUAGUGAAGAAUCUCAUAAAACAAAAUAAUGUACUUUUCAACCAGUCGUCACAGUUGAAUUUUGCAUCAUCCCCAAAUCAAGUAAGUAACCAUCUUGCACAAUGCACGAUCAUGUAAUAGAUAGAAGUUUCUUGAGUACGGACAUAUACCCGAGCUCACCGCCGCCGCCCGCCACCGCGCUGGAUCCGUCGCGCCCAACCUCGCCGACGUGCGCCGCCUUCGUCGUUGCCGAGGUCGUCGUCGCGCCCGAGCUAGCCGCCGCCCGCCGCCGUCGUUGUCGCCGCGCCCGAGCCGGAUCCGCCGCCGUCGUCGUCGCCGAGGUCGUCGUCGUGUCCGAGCUCGCCGCCACCGCUCGCAACCGCUCUGGAUCCGCCGUGCCCGACCUCGCCGCUGCCGCCCGCCACCGUCGUCGACGCCGCGCCCGAGCCGGAUCCGCCGCGCCGCCGCCGCCCACUCCCGCCUCCGGAUCCGGGCGGGACGAGGCCCGCCGCCGCCGGAUCCGGGUGUGACGAGGCCCGCCGCCGCCGGAUCCGGGCGGGACGAGGCCCGCGUCACCGCCCACUCGUCGUCGGGGUCGGCGUCGUCGUUGCCGGGGUCGCGCCUCCUCGUUGUCGUCGGGGUCAGCGCCGCUGCGGAGGGGGCAGCCCGAGCGACGGGGACGAUGCGGCGGCCGCCAGCUGCCGGCACGCGCACGCCGCCCACUCGUGCUCGUCGCCGGAAGAGGAAUAGAAAGAGGGAGAGGAGAGAGAGUGAGAGAGAGGAAGAGAAAGAGUGAGGAGAAGGGGAAAAUAUAAGUGGAGG